GAUGAAGAGGGAGGGGAAAUGGAUCAAACUCAAAUUGGACAAAGGAGAACUUUUACCAAAUUAAGAUCAUUCAUUCAUUUUGGGAGAUAAAAUGUACAUUCCAUCAACCCCCUAAAUCCAAUGAUCUUAACUUAACAAAGUCAAAUCAACCUUGACCAAGGCCCAACAACACAAGUCAAACUUCCAAAGUCAAUCAAAAUGGCUCUACACAAUUUAUUUGGCAUUUAUUCAAUUAAAAAUACUAAAAAUAAUACAUUAAAUUAAA
rnacentral:lncRNA from 1 species